CAUUACUUAUACCUGCCUGAACAAUUUGGAGCUGGGGUCUAAGUACCUUUGGCUUUAGCCCAUUUGUAUAACUUUGAUCACUCAAACCUUCUCUGGGAUACCUAUGUAUGGAUCAUGAAGGUGAUAGCACAUUAACCACAGAACUCUGCUUGAUCUGCCCAUAGAAAUCAGGAGGAUGCUUUUUAAAAACGAAACAAAACUUUAUUAUCUGGUUUGUUCGUACAUGUUAAAGAGUAUAAAACAAUGAAAUAAAAAACCAUUGAAAAGAGCACUGUGUGAUAACAAAUAAAAUAGCACUUAUUGUAUCAGAAUGCUUCCUAGUAUGGCUCUAUGAUCUAGAAACUGGUUACUGCUACAUCAAGGCUUAGCUGGCAAAAGUGGGAUACUUCAAGCUGUUUUAACUAUCUUUAAAUGACUGUAGUAUCACACCAUCAAAUUAUUUUUAACUAGCUUUAUUGCAAAUUAAAAAAUAUUUUGAUUCAAAUGAUGCAGUCUGGACCUUUUGAAAUAUUCAAAACAAUGAAAGUGAUUUUUGCUUUUAUUACCAGGACUAGACUGUUUUUUGUCUAAUAUAACAGGACAAAUUCAGCAAGCUCUCCUUGAGGCCCCACUUACAACCACUCCCAAAGAUACCCUAAAUGUUACUUUGCAUAACCACCACCUUCUGAUAAGCUUAGCUGACACUGUCCAGCUUCCUUCAUGUAUAAUUUUUAAAGUAAAGAGGUGCCAAUUUAAUCUAAAAUAAAUACAUUAUCUUAUUUUAGUACCUUAAAUUUUCCCUGUACUACUUUACACUUCAUGAUAAGAAAUACCUUGACAGACAGUGAGGUUAUCUAACUGCAAAUCUUUAGUUAUCUAAAGCUGAGGUCUGUGGGCUUCUGGUGGUAUGUCGCCCAACUAGUGGUUGUAUGCGGUUCAAACUUGAAAGGUGCUGAACACUCUGGGCCAAUACAGCAAAGCACU